rnacentral:rRNA from 1 species
AUACGGAGGAUGCAAGCGUUAUCCGGAUUUAUUGGGUUUAAGGGUGCGUAGGCGGUUUGCUAAGCGGGAGGUGAAAUGCCGGCGCUCAACGUCGGAAGUGCCUCCCGAACUGGUGGACUGGAAUGACUCUGCCGUGGGAGGAAUGUGUAGUGUAGCGGUGAAAUGCUUAGAGAUUACACAGAACACCGAUUGCGAAGGCAUCUCACGAAGGGUUGAUUGACGCUGAGGCACGAAAGCGUGGGGAUCAAACAGGAUUAGAUACCCUGGUAGUCCACGCAGUAAACGAUGAUGGCUAACCGCUGGUUUAUUCGGAUCAGUGGCCAAGCGAAAGCGAUAAGCCAUCCACCUGGGGAGUACGACCGCAAGGUUGAAACUCAAAGGAAUUGACGGGG